GGGAGCAGCUCAGCCCCAGUUCCAGCGUGCAGCCUUCAGAAGGCCUAUCAGCUUCUGCUUCUACGCUCUUGGGAGCCCCGAGCUGCCAUGUGAGAAGUCCAGCUACUCUGUCGGAGAAUCAUGUGGAGAGGUCUUGCAGAGUAAGAGGCCCUGAGGAGGACUGAGGCUCCAGUCAAGCUGUCCCCUCUAGCCCUGAGGCUCCAGCUUCCCAACUCGGUCAACAAACAUUUGAGUGGAGAAGCUAUCUGGGAUGUUCCUGCCCAGCAGACUGUAUAGAACAGAGAUGAUCACUCCUGAGUGCCCUGUUCGAAUUCUUGACCUACGGAAUUGUCCCGUCUAUCCAUCUUUUGAGUGUGGGUUUGGCCAUUGCUUUGGCCAACUGGACACUAAAAAACAUGAGAGUUUUAAAAAGCACUUGUGCAUCACAGCCUGACCUUCCUUGCUGCUCUUUGGAACCAUGAGAUAACCAUGAAGAAGACUGAGCUAAUCUGUUUGGAGACAUAUGGUCCAGUUACCCCCAUCACUUCAGCCAACAGCUAGUACCUACAGCCAGACAGGAUGAAUCCUCAAGCAGAAUAAAGCCUUGGAGUUACAAAAAGAAGAGUUUGGGAGUCAGAAAAAAAACUUGUACCUGACAGUGGAACCAGUUGUGAGACCCCCAUCUCAGAGGUAUUGCAUACUUUGUGGCUUAUUGUCAGUAUCAAACAAGAGGCUGUAUGGGAAAACCUGUUUAAUUGCUAAGAACUGUCUUUGAAAAGCAUGUGUAUCAGGGCAGCCUGAGGCUGCCAUCCUCCUGGCCUGACCCGAGGUGAGCACCACCUGCAAACACCAGGGGGCGCCAUGAGAUUGGAAUUCCAGGAGACCUACUAGAGCCUGGACUCAAAAGAACCCAGGAGAGUCAGUCAGCUGGGAAGGCUAUCUUGAGAAAGUUAACAUUAGUAUGAAAUGUAAGUAACAAGUCAUAUUUAGCCAAGUGGCACAUAUUCUGGGCAGAGGGAACAGCAUGCACAAAAAGCUGGAGGUGAGAGAGUACACGAUUCACUCAUGUAAUUGCUUUUCUCUAAAAUUUUUAGUUUCUUCCGUAAGUCCAUCAGGUUGAGGAGAUGGGAGACGAGUCUUUAUCUUAAAGGAUGUGGCUUCUCUUAAAUGCAGGCAGAUAUGAGAGAGGGCAUGGAUCUUUCUUGAAAUGUAAUUUUCUGCUUGUUUGUAAGUGAUUAACUACCAUAAUCAAUUGAGUCAAGGGUCAGGUCACUGCAUCCUUUGGGACAGCGGUGGGAUAGUCCCUUGUGCUUGGGGUAAUGAUGCCUGGAAUGCAUGCAGGGUGGCCCAGCUUGUGUCUUUGGGCACAUUAAGGUGAAGGAACAACUGGCCUCUGUGGCUUUCCAUCCAUCUCCUUGCUACUCUUUCCUAUUUGCAUUUCCAACCCAGUCCAGCUACUCUGGUAGACAUGGCAGGCUGGGAGCAGGCUGGUAUUCUAACCUGUGUCAGGAAACAGGUUAAGGGGCUUAAUGUUUUAUAUGUUCAAACCUGAAAGCAGCCAUAUAAAAUAGGUGUUAAUGAAUUAUUAGCCCCAUUUGUCCAGAUGCCAAAACAGUCUUAGAGAAAUUAGGUAGCUCAUUUAAGAAAGUCAAAUCCAGUUUGUGUUCUUUCUGCCGGCCCACCCUCAAGUUGCCUGCUGCCUCCCCACUCUGAGGCCAUUCACCUCCUCCUGCAAUAUCAACAGGACAGCCAACCACUGUGUUCACACAGUCCUUUAUGGGCGGCGGACUGGUUUCACAAAUGCAAGGUUAGUACAGUUUAGACAUGAAUUUGUUGAUUCUGAGGAGUCAAUGGUUUUCAGGGAGGUACACUGGAGAGCCUUGACCAUUUGCACAUUGCCUCUGAAUGUACAAUGCUUCUUAAACACUCCACUCCUGCCUCCUCACCCCAGGCAGGGUAGGUGCCAUCUCUAGGUUGCAGUCAGGGCUGACACUGUCCACAAUGGAACUGAAAAUGUGUAGACACUCAUGCCACAUCUGGUCGCAAGUGGUCAAGGUGUCACUGCUAGGGGGGUCGUUGUGAACAUUUGCUUGGAUUGUGCAGGUUCAAGACAGCCUCGUGUAAUAUUUUCCUUCAAUUCCCUUUAAAGGUGAGACCACAAAGAAAUGAUCGGGUAAUCAGUGUAGUAUUGAGAAUAGUGAAAACAUGAAGGGGAAGCACUCUUCUAGGUUCAAAUAAAACAAGCUUGACUCACCAUACCUGAGUGGCACCUUCCUUUCCUGUGUUCAACCCUAGAGGAAAGACAGCGGGUCCCCUCUGGCCUUUGCCGUGGGAGAGGUGGUAGGUGAAAGGCAAAGACAUUUACUGAGCUCCUUUCAGGUGCUCCUACUAUCCCUUGUGAAGCUUACUAGCCAAUCCUGGGGACAAAUGUUAAAUCUACCAAUACCAAUGAUCUCCGUUUCACUUCCCAGCAAGGUCAGGGAAGCGAUCUGCCCUGCACACAGUGAAGCGCUUGGCAGUCAUAUAAUAACAACACACAUAUUUGGAUAGUUGUUCUGUUAUAGUUACCAUUUUUAUACUGUCUAUUUGUGGAACAUUUUCACACCGAGUAUCUCAUCUGACUAUCCCAACCGACAGGUAGGCAUAGCCCUCCCAGGUUUACACCUAAGGAAACAGAAUCAGGGACAGUUCAUAAAAAUAGCAGGUCACUUAAUAAAGAGAGCAUGGAGUAUGUGCUAGGCACUGGCCAGAGUGUUUUAAAUAUUUAGAUUUAUUUACUGUUUGCAACAACCCUGUGAGGUGGGUACUGUUACUAUCCCUAUUUUGCAGAUGGGGAGGGUUAGGCCCAGAGAUCUUAGUAGUUUGCCCUGGGUCACAUAGCUGGUAAAACAUACAGAGAGAACUUGAACCCAGGUGGAUGGGCUCUAGAGUUCUAUAGCCUCUUGUCUACUUGCUCAGCAUCAUGUAGUUAAAAAAGAGGCAAAACUGGAGUUCCAAGCUUGGCCUGUCUC